rnacentral:rRNA from 1 species
CACGCCGUAAACGUUGGGCACUAGGUGUGGGUCCUUAUCAACGGGAUCCGUGCCGCAGCUAACGCAGUAAGUGCCCCGCCUGGGGAGUACGGUCGCAAGACUAAAACUCAAAGGAAUUGACGGGGGACCGCACAAGCGGCGGAGCAUGUUGCUUAAUUCGAUGCAACGCGAAGAACCUUACCUGGGCUUGACAUGUACUGAAAAGCCGCAGAGAUGUGGUGUCCUUCGGGGCGGUACACAGGUGG